GACGAACGCUGGCGGCGUGCUUAACACAUGCAAGUCGAACGGAGAGGCCCUGCUUUUGUGGGGUGCUCGAGUGGCGAACGGGUGAGUAACACGUGAGUAACCUGCCCUUGACUUUGGGAUAACUUCAGGAAACUGGGGCUAAUACCGGAUAGGAGCUCCUGCUGCAUGGUGGGGGUUGGAAAGUUUCGGCGGUUGGGGAUGGACUCGCGGCUUAUCAGCUUGUUGGUGGGGUAGUGGCUUACCAAGGCUUUGACGGGUAGCCGGCCUGAGAGGGUGACCGGCCACAUUGGGGCUGAGAUACGGCCCAGACUCCUACGGGAGGCAGCAGUGGGGAAUAUUGCACAAUGGGCGGAAGCCUGAUGCAGCAACGCCGCGUGCGGGAUGACGGCCUUCGGGUUGUAAACCGCUUUCGCCUGUGACGAAGCGUGAGUGACGGUAAUGGGUAAAGAAGCACCGGCUAACUACGUG
rnacentral:rRNA from 1 species